CGUCAGAAGUGGGCGGGAGGGACGGCCCACAAAAUGGCGACCGGACUGAGGGAAGGCAAACAAGCAGAGGGAAAAAACCAUGCAGGGGAAUAAAACACAGUGGGAGCAAUAUAAAGAAUUUAAGAACCUAAAUAAGAGCUGAAACUUGAGGAAUCCUCGGCAGAGGAGAGUGCCCCAGCAGCCUCUUCUUCUGAGAGUCCAGAUGAGGAGGUGGCUGUAAAUGAAUCUGAAAGUGAGGAAUCCUCUGAGUAUGCCGCCACAGCGGGCAUGUCGCCAGAGAGAGCAGAAGAGGAGGUGGCGGCAACAGAAACUCAAGAUAGCAGGACACAAACUGAGCCCUUCCUGUCUGAGUUGUUUCAGACACUGACCCAGGCACUGCAAACAGUGGCCGAUGCUGUUAGGGGGAUUCAAGAUGCUUUGCAGGAAUAUUACG